GAGCGGACUGAUGGGAGCUUGCUCCCUGAUGUUAGCGGCGGACGGGUGAGUAACACGUGGGCAACCUGCCUGUAAGACUGGGAUAACUCCGGGAAACCGGGGCUAAUACCGGAUAACCCGUUCCACCUCAUGGUGGAGCGGUAAAAGAUGGCCUCUGGCUAUCACUUACAGAUGGGCCCGCGGCGCAUUAGCUAGUUGGUAAGGUAACGGCUUACCAAGGCGACGAUGCGUAGCCGACCUGAGAGGGUGAUCGGCCACACUGGGACUGAGACACGGCCCAGACUCCUACGGGAGGCAGCAGUAGGGAAUCUUCCGCAAUGGACGAAAGUCUGACGGAGCAACGCCGCGUGAGUGAUGAAGGUUUUCGGAUCGUAAAGCUCUGUUGUUAGGGAAGAACAAGUGCCGUUUGAAUAAGGCGGCACCUUGACGGUACCUAACCAGAAAGCCACGGCUAACUACGUGCCAGCACC
rnacentral:rRNA from 2 species